rnacentral:rRNA from 1 species
UGGGGGAUAUUGCACAAUGGGCGAAAGCCUGAUGCAGCGACGCCGCGUGGGGGAUGAAGGCUUUCGGGUUGUAAACCUCUUUCGCUAUCGAACAAGGCCCGCUUAGGGUGGGUUGAGGGUAGGUGGAGAAGAAGCGCCGGCUAACUACGUGCCAGCAGCCGCGGUAAUACGUAGGGCGCGAGCGUUGUCCGGAAUUAUUGGGCGUAAAGGGCUUGUAGGCGGCUUGUUGCGCCUGCUGUGAAAACGCGGGGCUUAACUUCGCGCGUGCAGUGGGUACGGGCAGGCUUGAGUGUGGUAGGGGUGACUGGACUUCCAGGUGUAGCAGUGGAAUGCGCAGAUAUCUGGAGGAACACCGAUGGCGAAGGCAGGUCACUGGGCCAUUACUGACGCUGAGGAGCGAAAGCAUGGGUAGCGAACAGG